AUUGAACGCUGGCGGAAUGCUUUACACAUGCAAGUCGAACGGGAGCACGGGGGCAACCCUGGUGGCGAGUGGCGAACGGGUGAGUAAUACAUCGGAACAUGCCCAGUCGUGGGGGAUAACGUAGCGAAAGUUACGCUAAUACCGCAUACGAUCCAAGGAUGAAAGCGGGGGACCGCAAGGCCUCGCGCGAUUGGAGUGGCCGAUGUCAGAUUAGGUAGUUGGUGGGGUAAAGGCUCACCAAGCCGACGAUCUGUAGCUGGUCUGAGAGGACGACCAGCCACACUGGAACUGAGACACGGUCCAGACUCCUACGGGAGGCAGCAGUGGGGAAUUUUGGACAAUGGGCGCAAGCCUGAUCCAGCCAUUCCGCGUGCAGGAUGAAGGCCUUCGGGUUGUAAACUGCUUUUGUACGGAACAAAACGGCCUGCUCUAAUACAGCGGGCUAAUGACGGUACCGUAAGAAUAAGCACCGGCUAACUACGUGCCAGCCGCCGCGGUAACAC
rnacentral:rRNA from 1 species